rnacentral:rRNA from 1 species
UACAGAGGGUGCAAGCGUUAAUCGGAAUUACUGGGCGUAAAGCGUGCGUAGACGGUUAUGUAAGUCAGAUGUGAAAGCCCCGGGCUUAACCUGGGAAUGGCGUUUGGGACUGGAAGUCUGGAGUGCGGCAGAGGAGACUGGAAUUCCUGGUGUAGCAGUGAAAUGCGUAGAUAUGCGGAGGAACACCGAUGGCGAAGGCAGCCUCCUGGGAUAACACUGACGCUCAUGCACGAAAGCGUGGGGAGCAAACAGG